rnacentral:rRNA from 1 species
UACGGGGGGGGCAAGCGUUGUUCGGAAUUACUGGGCGUAAAGGGCUCGUAGGCGGCCAACUAAGUCAGACGUGAAAUCCCCAGGCUUAACCUGGGAUCUGCGUCUGAUACUGGAAGGCUCGAGUUCGGGAGAGGAAUGUGGAAUUCCAGGUGUAGCGGUGAAAUGCGUAGAUAUCUGGAGGAACACCGGUGGCGAAGGCGGCAUUCUGGACCGAAACUGACGCUGAGGCGCGAAAGCCAGGGGAGCAAACGGG